GCACGGAGUUAGCCGGUGCUUCCUUUGGAGGUACCGUCAAGUCACCGACGUAUUGGGUCGGCAAGAUUUCGUCCCUCCCGACAGGGCUUUACGACCCGAAGGCCUUCAUCACCCACGCGGCGUCGCUGCGUCAGGCUUUCGCCCAUUGCGCAAUAUUCCCCACUGCUGCCUCCCGUAGGAGUCUGGGCCGUGUCUCAGUCCCAGUGUGGCUGAUCAUCCUCUCAGACCAGCUAACCAUCUUCGCCUUGGUGAGCCAUUACCUCACCAACUAGCUAAUGGCGCGCAGGCCCAUCUCGGGGGGAUAGCGUGCAAGCAGAGGCCAUCUUUUACCUCAAGGGCCAAAGCCCUCGUGGUCUUAUCCGGUAUUAGCCCGUCUUUCGACAGGUUAUCCCAGACCCCAAGGUAGGUUACCUACGUGUUACUCACCCGUUCGCCGCUGUACUCGCUCCCCGAAGGGAACUUUCCCGCUCGACUUGCAUGUGUUAGGCACGCCGCCAGCGUUCGUU
rnacentral:rRNA from 1 species